UACAGAGGUGGCAAGCGUUGUUCAGAAUUACUGGGCGUAAAGGGCGAGUAGGUGGCCAUCUAAGUCAGACGUGAAAUCCCCCGGCUUAACCUGGGAACUGCGUCUGAUACUGGACGGCUUGAGUAUGGGAGAGGAACGUAGAAUUCCAGGUGUAGCGGUGAAAUGCGUAGAUAUCUGGAGGAACACCGGUGGCGAAGGCGGCAUCCUGGACCGGUAUUGACGCUGAGGCGCGAAAGCCAGGGGAGCAAACGGG
rnacentral:rRNA from 1 species